rnacentral:misc_RNA from 1 species
GCUUGAGGUUUGUUUUUUCCUUCUACUUAUCUUAAUGUUAAAAAUUCACCACCAUCUCUCAAAAUGGCUAAUAUUUAUAACAUGAAUGAUAUCAGAUAUCUGCUGACAAGAAAUUUGGCAAUGUGGCUGCAUAUAGGGUGUACAAGAGGACAACAAGGUUUAAGUAUUUCUUUUCUUCUGUUCUUUUUUUUGUUUUGAAUGAAAUUGAGAGGACAAUCUAGCUGAACUUACAUAUUCCAUUUCAGCCCUCUCAUUCCUCUGCCCCCUGUAGUAUAUGGGAACUUGCCUUCAUGGUUGAAAACAACUUUCCUCUUCGAAUUCCCUUUCUAUAGUCUCAAUCCUGUUCCAUAGUCGCUGUCUUCCUCAUGAGGGGACAACAUGGUGAGACUACUGUACAAUCUGAAGAACCUAUAUUGCUCUAGCAUGUGAUUUGACUAAUUUUGCAUUACUGAUGAGUUUUGUGCAUGUAAUAUUGUUCUCAUUUUUCAUAUAAACUUGCAGUAUUCUCAGGAGAAUCUAUUUAUAGUAGUGUGUAUGAAACUGUGGGAUGCUAAACUUGUGUAAUUUUUACAUUUCCAUGGUGUUUUUCUUUAAAUUUUUACUCCUAAAUUAUUAUAAUCUUUUGUUGGUUGCAAAUCUCA